UUUCAAUACUGUUUAUGUAGUCAUUGAGAGUUUAAACAAAGUUUCUUCUGAGAAGAGGAAUUCGAUGGAUGCAUUCAACAUGGACAACGAAAUCAUAAUUUCGUUUGCAUCAUCCUAAGGACCAGUGCAAGUUGAAAUGGGCUUCCAGCCAACAACUUCAACAGCAAUUUGCCAUGAAAAUCAGCAAGAAAGGUACUUCAUUUACAUUGAUGAUGUCAUAUCCCCAUGACCCCACAACUUUACAGGUUACAGAGAAAAUUUAAGAACUUCUGCAAAAUGUGGGACUUGGAUAGAAUCAAUAAUGUAUUUGUGAGCCCAGAGCAAUGGAUAUAUUGUGCAACAUACUAAAGUGUGAAUUUAAUGGAAAACAAGUACAUGUACUCAUGUAUUACAUGUCUUUUUUAAAGACAAUAAUAUUGUAUAAAUAUAGAGGAAGUGUCAUUGUUGAUUAUUCUAAGUUUUUGAUAUAUCAAAA